GUGAAUCAUCGAAUUUUUGAACGCAAAUUGCGCCUUUUUCGGAAGGCAUGGCUGUUUGAGGGCGCCAUUUAACCAAUAAUGUGAAGCGUUUUUUGUUGCACACGUUGAAGAGCUUUCCAGGAAUUUUAAAUUUUUGGUGGCGCAUAAAGAACAGCGUGAAAGUUUUUUUCAGUUCGAGUGUAGUAAAAUCUUGACUAGGGUGGUGAAAAAACAUAAUCGCGUAAGGUGUGUGG
rnacentral:misc_RNA from 1 species